UACGUAGGGUCCGAGCGUUGUCCGGAAUUACUGGGCGUAAAGCGUGCGCAGGCGGCCCGCGAGGUGUCACGUGAAAGCCCCGGGCUCAACCCGGGAGGGUCGUGGCAAACCGGCGCUUGAGGCCGGUAGAGGUGGGGUGGAACUCCUGGUGGAGUGGUGAAAUGCGUAGAGAUCAGGAAGAACACCCGUGGCGAAGGCGGCCCACUGGGCCGGUACUGACGCUGGAGGCACGAAGGCCGUGGGGGAG
rnacentral:rRNA from 1 species